rnacentral:rRNA from 1 species
UACGGAGGGCGCAAGCGUUGUUCGGAAUCACUGGGCGUAAAGCGCGUGUAGGCGGUCUGGAAAGUCGGUUGUGAAAUCCCGGGGCUCAACCCCGGAACUGCAGUCGAAACUCCCAGGCUAGAGUCCCGGAGAGGAUGGCGGAAUUCCCGGUGUAGAGGUGAAAUUCGUAGAUAUCGGGAGGAACACCAGUGGCGAAGGCGGCCAUCUGGACGGUGACUGACGCUGAGACGCGAAAGCGUGGGGAGCAAACAGG